rnacentral:rRNA from 1 species
CCUACGGGUGACAGCAGUGAGGAAUAUUGGUCAAUGGACGGAAGUCUGAACCAGCCAUGCCGCGUGCGGGAAGACGGCUCUAUGAGUUGUAAACUGCUUUUGUACAGGGGUAAACCUGAAUACGUGUAUUCAGCUGACAGUACUGUACGAAUAAGGAUCGGCUAACUCCGUGCCAGCAGCCGCGGUAAUACGGAGGAGCCAAGCGUUAUCCGGAUUUAUUGGGUUUAAAGGGUGCGUAGGCGGAUUGAUAAGUUAGAGGUGAAAUGUGCGAGCUUCACCCGGGAACUGCCUUGAAAACUGUUGAACUAGAGUGUAGGUGAGGUAGGCGGAAUGUAUGGUGUAGCGGUGAAAUGCUUAGAGAUCAUAUAGAACACCGAUUGCGAAGGCAGCUUACCAGUCUAUAACUGACGUUGAGGCACGAAAGCGUGGGGAGCAAACAGGAUUAGAUACCCUAGUAGUC